CCAAAAGCUGGCGACCAGCGCACGGGUGAGUAACACGUAUCCAACCUGCCUCAUACUCGGGGAUAGCCUUUCGAAAGAAAGAUUAAUAUCCGAUAGCAUAUAUUUCCCGCAUGGGUUUUAUAUUAAAGAAAUUCGGUAUGAGAUGGGGAUGCGUUCCAUUAGUUUGUUGGGGGGUAACGGCCCACCAAGACUACGAUGGAUAGGGGUUCUGAGAGGAAGGUCCCCCACAUUGGAACUGAGACACGGUCCAA
rnacentral:rRNA from 1 species